GGAGCUUUGCUGAAACUGCACAAAAAAAUCGAGCUGGGGGGUUCCCUGGUCCCCGAUGUUGGGGCGGAGAGCGCGGCGCCCAGGGAGGGGGCGGCGCAGACCGGCCUAGGGGACACCUGGUCGAGCGCAGCCGCCGCUCCGCUCGAGCCCUGCGCUCCAGUGCCCCCACUGGCUGGAGAGCUCGCCCAGACCAGGGGUCUUCCUCCGUCGCUGACAGUUGUUACCUGUUAAGUCAUUAAGAUCCAGAAAGGGUGAAACAAAUGAAAACAAUAAAUAAAGUUGCAUUUUCACCUCGAUUUGGAAGCAGUAAAAGAUUUUAACCGUUAGAAGAGUACCAGUUCUGGAAAACAACC
rnacentral:lncRNA from 1 species